rnacentral:rRNA from 1 species
GACGAACGCUGGCGGCGUGCCUAACACAUGCAAGUCGACAUGAGUGGCGAUCGGGUGAGUAAUACGUGGGUAACCUGCCCUCCUUUUUGGGAUAAGCCUUGGAAACGGGUUCUAAUACAGCAUAAAGGGGGAUGGGCUCGCGGCCUAUCAGCUUGUUGGUGGGGUGCUGGCCUACCAAGGCGGUGACGGGUAGCCGGCCUGAGGGGGUAAACGGGCACGGAGGGACGGAGAUGCGGCCCAGAGUCGGACGGGAGGCAGCAGUGUGGGAUAUGGGAGAAUGGGCGAGAGACUGAUGCAGCGAGUCCGCGUGGGGGAUGAAGGCUGUCGGGUUGUAAACGUCUUGCGGUAGCGAACGGGUAGGUGGAGAAGAAGCGCCGGCUAACUACGUGCCAGCCGCCGCGGUAAUAC